AUGUAGAAAUACCUCUUUCACUAAAAUUGAUUUAAAAACAAACUUAUUGAACUUGUAAAACAGUAGAUUAAAGAAGUUGUAAAUCCAGAGCCAUCAUAUUGGAAAAAUACAAGUAAAAUAGGUGGCCAGGUAGUCGUCGUCAUCCACCUGUGUCCCGUCCUCGGCCACGCACAGCCGGCAUUCUGCGC